AAGUCGUAACAAGGUUUCCGUAGGUGAACCUGCGGAAGGAUCAUUAAAAAAUGUGGUAUUUUAUACCUCUUGUAUUUAAAACCCAACUCUAAAAAUAUAAAUUUUUUUUUAAAAAAAAAAAAACUUUCAACAAUGGAUCUCUUGGCUCUC
rnacentral:misc_RNA from 1 species